GACGGAAGGUGCAAGCGUUGCUCGGAAUCACUGGGCGUAAAGGGUGCGUAGGUGGCCAGGUAAGUUUGAUGUGAAAGCUCGGAGCUUAACUCCGAAAUGGCAUUGAAUACUAUCUGGCUCGAGGGUCGGAGGGGAGACUGGAAUUCUCGGUGUAGCAGUGAAAUGCGUAGAUAUCGAGAGGAACACCAGUGGCGAAGGCGAGUCUCUGGACGACACCUGACACUGAGGCACGAAAGCUAGGGGAGCAAACAGG
rnacentral:rRNA from 1 species